rnacentral:lncRNA from 1 species
UAACCACCUGUAAUUGGAUUGAAUCCCCCAGCCUCCCGUUAGUAACCAGGAUGUUGGUAAGUCAAUGUGUUCGGCGUCUCGCUCAGGGAAGGUCUAGUUACUGUAGAUCCAAUCAGAUGGGGGUUUUCAGCUGACGUUUUGACAGCGGAGGAGCGGCGUUAAUAAGAGCCGUCCAGAGGGGCUCCUGGGGUUUAUCCGAUGGCUGCACGGAGCGGCGUUAAGAUAAAUCCUGGUCUCGCUUAGUUUGGAUAGUCAUUCUCUGUUUUAAAUGUUUGUUUAACCUUUAACCAGGCAAGUCAGUUAAGAACAAAUUCUUAUUAUUUACAAUGACGGUCUACCGGGGAACAGUGGGUUAACUGCCUUGUUCAGGGGGCAGAACGACAGAUUUGUACCUUGUCAGCUCGGGGAUUCGAUCUUGCAACCUUUCGGUUACUAGUCCAACGCGCUAAACUAACCACUAGGCUACGCUGCCGUCCCUGUUGAUAAGCAACUAGUUAAGGUCAGCAGAAGGAUUUACAUGUAGCCUUGUAAAACACCUCGAUUAGGCUGUUAGGAAAACCUCUGAUUUUCAAAUCUGAGCGUCUUUAUUUUCUAGAUAUCCUACACUUUCUCCUUCCGAGCGUCUUUAUUUUCUAGAUAUCCUACACUUCCUCCUUCUGAGCGUCUUUAUUUUCUAGAUAUCCUACACUUUCUCCUUCCGAGCUUUUAACGCCAGUAGGACAGGGUUAAAACGCUUGAUCUGAUGUUGUAAUUUUGACUGAUAAUAAAAAACGUAC